CCUGGAUGCAGUUUGCAAGCUUUUCCUAAAUAGCAUCUUUUCUGCCACUGCUGCAGACAGAUUACUGGGCUAGAUGGGCCACUGGUAUGACUCAGACAUAGUAUGACUAUUUCUUAUUUUAUACUUACUCUCUACUGUAACAUAAAUAACAGAUUACAUUAACACUUUCUCUAUUCUUACUCAACCUCAGUAAUUACAGUUCAUGCAACCUAUACUCAUAGGUCACAUUCUCUAAAUCACCAGUCACUCCCAUUGCUAGUCUCUAUUUAUAGUCUUUAUGAUCUUGAACUGCAGCACCCAGAAAUGGAUGCUGUUGGCAACUGAGAUUUGAAGUGCUUGGUGGAGCAUAUAGAUGUGUCUUACAGACUCCAAAACUGUUUAUAUAUGCUUGUGUUUGUCUUAAGAACACUGAGAUAUAGUCAAUAUCCGGACUAUCAUCCGUGGUACGUACUGGCACCUCUUCUUUCCAAAGAGUGACUUACCUUGGCACUUUAUCUCCAUUCAUUUUUUUCUAAAGUUGAUCAUUCUAGCGUUCAUUUCAAACCUGCUCCUUCAAAUAGCUUCUGUCUCUUCAGACACCAUGUCUCUACAUUACUGACACCAUUCUGAAUUGGAAUCCUAUCCUCCAGCAUCCCCGCAGUCCCCUUCACCAUGGAAACACCUGAAAACAUUAGUAACUAUUCUCCAUUAAGCACCUCGGCAGUGAAAGUAUUGCCUAAGCAGAACACAUGGCAGAGACUACCAGAGUUCUAAUCCACAUUUACUUAGAUUUAGAUGGAGAACAUUUUAAUACUCAGCACGAAGUGUUCUUUUCAUAGAGUACUAGAAGCCUAACUAAAUCCAAGAUAUGACAUCCAAAGCUUGCUGCCUUGUCAGCCUCUGAUGGUAUCCACAGAUUUGCUUUUCAGCAGUUCAAAAUGCCUUGCCAUAGCGAUGCAUUUCUACAGAGAGGGAAGGCCUGUACGCAUCUCAGCACAGAUCCCGAAAAUGACGUCAUGCUGGUGCAGCGGGAGGGGGACACUAAGAACUGGGAAGAGUCAAAUCCUCUCACUGUGCAAGAGAAUCUGCACGUGGAUGCAGGCUUUCAAAAAUUUCUAAAAAAAGCAUAAAGAUGCUGAUUAACUUGUCAGACAAAACUACAAACUAAGGAAGAAACAGGUAAGAGUAUAGCUUUGCUAAAACCAAGCUUAAAUCUACCACUGAGAAAGGCUGCUCUAAUGUUGUUGAGCUUGCAAACUAUUUCCUGUAUAGCUACAUUAAGAAAAGAACUUUUGGUGAUGUAUUUUUGGUGUA